rnacentral:rRNA from 1 species
GACGAACCGUGCGAACGUUGUUCGGAAUCACUGGGCUUAAAGGGCGCGUAGGCGGCUUAUCAAGUCGGGGGUGAAAUACUUCAGCUUAACUGGAGAAGUGCCUUCGAUACUGGUGGGCUUGAGGGAGGUAGGGGUCUGUGGAACUUCUGGUGGAGCGGUGAAAUGCGUUGAUAUCAGAAGGAACGCCGGUGGCGAAAGCGACGGACUGGACCUCUUCUGACGCUGAGGCGCGAAAGCUAGGGGAGCAAACGGGAUUAGAAACCCCCGUAGUCC